rnacentral:rRNA from 1 species
AACGUAGGAGACAAACGUUAUCCGGAGUUACUGGGCGUAAAGGGCGUGUAGGUGGUUUCGUAAGUCUGGCGUGAAAUUUUUCGGCUUAACCGGGAAAGGUCGUCGGAUACUGCGGGACUGGAGGACGGUAGAGGCGUGUGGAAUUCCGGGUGUAGUGGUGAAAUGCGUAGAGAUCCGGAAGAACACCAGUGGCGAAGGCGGCCUGCUGGGCAGUGGCUGACGCUGAGGCGCGACAGCGUGGGGAGCAAACAGG